GACAGAGGAGGCAAGCGUUAUCCGGAAUUAUGGGGCGUAAAGCGUCCGUAGGUGGUUUGGCAAGUCUGGGGUUAAAGCCCGGAGCCUAACUCCGGAUCGGCCCUGGAAACUGCCAGACUAGAGUAAGGUAGGGGUUGCGGGAAUUCCCGGUGUAGCGGUGAAAUGCGUAGAUAUCGGGAAGAACACCAGUGGCGAAAGCGCGCAACUGGGCCAUUACCGACACUGAGGGACGAAAGCUAGGGGAGCGAAGGGG
rnacentral:rRNA from 1 species